GUAACAAGAUCACAACAAAUAUCACAGGAAGAGCAACCAUUAAGGAAUCAGUUGAGAAAGAAGAACCAUCCCAUCACCGGGUAGAGUGUGGAGAAUCUCCCCGAGAAGAGAGAAUCACAGAAGCCAAGAAAUAGUGUUUCAUGGAGAAGAAUCCAAAGAACAAACACAUAUUACAGAACAGUCAAGAUUGGCCAUAGGACACAGUUACAUCAAUGGAAUGUGAGCAGAUGUGCUAUAAACCAAGACUAGAAGAUGUAGGAGACACCAUCAUUUUCCUUCAGCUCUCUCACUCUUUCAGCUCCACCCCCAGACUGCACCAAAUCUAGAGACUAUUCCUGCAGCCUGGGCUCCAGAGGGAGAAGACACAUGGAGUGGAGCUGGGCAGAUAUCCAGCAGCCAUAGCCAAGUCCUAGAGAAAGGCCCAUAUUGUGAGUAAGAAAUAAAUGUUUGUUGUUUCAAUCCA